rnacentral:lncRNA from 1 species
CUAUAGUUAUAAAGUACGUAAUGUUUAGUAAAACACUACAAAACUUUUGUUAUCUGUAGCUCGAACGAUUGUUUAUAACAUGAAACAGAAUGACGCGACGCGCACAGCCGCACAGUAAACGGACCGGACCGAAGCAAACCUGUUCGUUCCCGUUUGUGUUUCCUCGAGACGAGAGUCUCAGCAUUUCAGCACGCAUCACAGUUUGUUCAGUCCGGUUGUUAUUAAUAAAAUUUAUGGUAUUUGUGAAGAAAACCUUGGAGGCAAGGGCGGGUGCACAAUAUGAGUGAACUUCAGGAGGCGGCGGCGGCGGAGUCAGCCAGAACCUCCGAGUGUGAGAUGCCUCGUGUACUAGUACCACUACGAUGGAGGAGUACCUAGCGUCGUGGCUCUCCCUAUGUAAAUAUUUAGAUGUUUAAAGAACACAGAAAACAUAUUGAUAUUUUGCAGUUAUUAUCAGAAGAGGAAAUAUAAGAAAUUAUUACAAGGCGAAACUGAUUACCCAAACAGCCAUGCUACAAAACAUAAUUAGUAUAAUUACGGACGCAUUUUCCAAAAAAAACAUUGUGAAGAAGUCCUGGACCUGGCAGCAUUUAUGGCGACCCCUUUUUUGGUGACUACUUCGAACGUAGGCAAGAGUAAGAAUUAAACCAGGUCUACUCUAAACUUCUCUGGUGGCCGUCUAAGCUGAUUGUGCCGGAAGGAUUUUUCUUAUGCAUGUGAAAUGUGCUGCGCAAAUAGAAGAGACCAUCGCACGCAGAGCGGAAAGACGGUGCGAAAUGGAAUUAACGUUGCCGCCGUCUAAAUUGUAAGAUAUUCUAUCAAAGCUCUAAUAAACCUAACUGUAAAUAAUGUUCGUUACGAAAUGCAGUUGAUGCGUGAUUUAAAAUAAAAUUUGUUCUUAAUGCACUGGGUAGCUCUUGGGCUAAAGUAAAAGCGAAACAUAAGCAUAAGUUAGUAUUUCCAUUGUUUUUAUUUUUUGAUGAUUACGAAAUCAGAAAGUAAAUAAUGUUAUAGUGUCAUAAUUUUAUUAUAAUAUUUCGGAAAUACAGGAAUUAUUUGAAUAAAACUGUACUUAGCAUUUAAAUGAAGAGUUUUACUAUGCUACCUACCUAAAAUUUGAAUAUUCGUAUCAAGACGCUUUACGUUAAUUAUUUAUGAAAAUAAUGGAAUUUAAUUAUUGUUGUUUUUAAUGUAAGUAACACCAAUUCAAGUAAAACCCCGUCUUAAUAUGAAUAUUUAUCAGAAUUCAGUCAAAUAAUAAAUAUUAUAAAUAUACUGUAAUUCCACUAUAUUUUGUUAGUUAAACGUCGGAUCAAAUAGCUACCAGUCCAUCCGGCAAUUAACUUAGUACAAAAAGGGACGAUAUCAAUGAAUCCGUCCUUAAAUUAAUCAACGAGAGUAUAGUAAAAUCACAUUGUAUUGAAAUGAAUUGUAACAAUACCUUCUAGUAGCAUUACCUGAUCACUUAUUACGAAUAUUAUCUAAGAUUCAGUUUAGGACCUAAACGGAAUUGCUACAGGACGGAGCUAAAAACUUAAACUGAAUCGUAAUAAGUGAUCGGGUAAGGCUACU